rnacentral:rRNA from 1 species
UGGGGAAUAUUGGACAAUGGGCGAAAGCCUGAUCCAGCCACGCCGCGUGAGUGAUGAAGGCCUUCGGGUCGUAAAGCUCUGUGGGGAGAGACGAACCGCCAGGGGUUAAUAGCCGCUUGGCAUGACGGUAUCUCCUUAGCAAGCACCGGCUAACUUCGUGCCAGCAGCCGCGGUAAUACGAAGGGUGCAAACGUUGCUCGGAAUUAUUGGGCGUAAAGCGCACGUAGGCGGCCUAAAAAGUCGGAUGUGA